CGAAUGCUGACAUAAGUAACGAUAAAGCGGGUGAAAAGCCCGCUCGCCGGAAGACCAAGGGUUCCUGUCCAACGUUAAUCGGGGCAGGGUGAGUCGACCCCUAAGGCGAGGCCGAAAGGCGUAGUCGAUGGGAAACAGGUUAAUAUUCCUGUACUUGGUGUUACUGCGAAGGGGGGACGGAGAAGGCUAUGUUGGCCGGGCGACGGUUGUCCCGGUUUAAGCGUGUAGGCUGGUUUUCCAGGCAAAUCCGGAAAAUCAAGGCUGAGGCGUGAUGACGAGGCACUACGGUGCUGAAGCAACAAAUGCCCUGCUUCCAG
rnacentral:rRNA from 1 species